UACAGAGGGUGCGAGCGUUGUCCGGAAUCACUGGGCGUAAAGGGCGCGUAGGCGGCCUGAUAAGUAGGGGGUGAAAUCCUGCGGCUCAACCGCAGGGCUGCCUUCUAAACUGUCAGGCUGGAGCACGGUAGAGGCAGAUGGAAUUCCCGGUGUAGCGGUGGAAUGCGUAGAUAUCUGGAGGAACACCGGUGGCGAAGGCGGCAUCCUGGACCGACACUGACGCUGAGGAGCGAAAGCCAGGGGAGCAAACGGG
rnacentral:rRNA from 1 species